AUUGAACGCUGGCGGUAUGCUUAACACAUGCAAGUCGAACGGAAACGACAAGAAGCUUGCUUCUUGGGCGUCGAGUGGCGGACGGAUGAGUAAUAUAUAGGAACCUUCCUCAUAGUUUGGGAUAACUACUCGAAAGAGUAGCUAAUACCGGAUGUGGACUACGGUUUAAAGCAGGGGAUCUUCGGACCUUGCGCUACGAGAUGGGCCUAUAUAAGAUUAGCUAGUUGGUGAGGUAAUGGCUCACCAAGGCGACGAUCUUUAGCUGGUUUGAGAGGAUGACUAGCCACACUGGGACUGAGACACGGCCCAGACUCCUACGGGAGGCAGCAGUGGGGAAUCUUGGACAAUGGGGGCAACCCUGAUCCAGCAAUACCGCGUGUGUGAAGAAGGCCCUAGGGUUGUAAAGCACUUUUGUUAGGGAGAAUGGGAUUUGUCGUUAAUACCGACAGAUUCUGAUGUUACCUAAAGAAUAAGCACCGGCUAACUCCGUGCCAGCCGCCGCCGUAAC
rnacentral:rRNA from 1 species